rnacentral:rRNA from 1 species
GGUGGUGUUGUGAAUAGCAGCAUCUAUUUGACGUUAGACAACAGAAGAAGCACCGGCUAACUCCGUGCCAGCAGCCGACGGUAAUACGGGAGGGUGCGAGUACGUUAAGUCGGUAAAUUACGUGGGACGUAAAAGCGCAUGCAGGUGGUUUGUUAAAGUCAGAUGUAGAAAACGCCCCGGGCUACAAACCGUGGGUAAAUUGCUAUUUAGAAAAACUGGACAAAACUAGAGUACUGUAGAGGGGGUAGAAUUUCAGGUGUAGCGGUGAAAAUGCGUAGAGAUCUGAAGGAAUACCGGUGGCGAAGGCGGCCCCUGGACAGAUACUGACACUCAGAUGCGAAAGCGUGGGGAGCAAACAGGAUUAGAUACCCUGGUAG